rnacentral:ncRNA from 1 species
GAGUUGUGGUUAGGGGUGAAAUGCCACUCAAACCAGAGCUAGCUGGUUCUCCCUGAAAUGCAUUGAAGCGCAGCAGUUGACUGGACAUCUAGGAGUAAAGCACUGUUUCGGUGCGGGCAAUGAGAGCAGUACCAAAUUGAGGCAAACUCUGAAUAUUAGAUACGAUCUCAAAAUCACAAGGGUCAAGGUCGGCGAGUGAGACGAUGAGGGAUAAGCUUCAUCGUCGAGAGGGAAA